rnacentral:rRNA from 1 species
UGGCAGUAAACACUGUUCACUAAACAUCGGGCCCUCUUCGAGAGGAUUCGGUGCUGAAGGGAAGCUGUAGAGUGAACUACCUGGGAAGUAUAGUCGCAAGGUCGAAACUUAAAGGAAUUGGCGGGGAGACAUACAACGAGUGACGCGUGCGGUUUAAUUAGAUUCUACACCGUGAACCUCACCAGGAGCGACAGCAGGAUGAAGGUCAGUCUAAAGGGCUUACCUGACACGCUGAGAGGAGGUGCAUGGCGUCAGUGACU